UGCUGCUGCAACCGCUUAGGGCAACGUGCAUCACUUCUCUGUUGGAGCAGUGACACGAAGUCAGCACUGUGUUCAGGGCUGUUUGCUGACUGAGCUCCAAAACCACAGACUUUCUGCACUUAGUGCUUGGGAGACGUGAGCAGGGGGCUGGAGAAGGAAAAGAAAGCGUUUGUAGUGAUUGGCUGGGGAGCUUGGAGACCUGAAUCAAGACCUGAAGCUGUCAACUUGCUGAAGUAGUGUCUACACAAAGCUGGACUGCAUCAACAGUUCUCCAUUAUCAGCCGCUCUGUGGUUGGUGAGUCUCUUGUUCAAAUUGCUGAUUCCAGAUCCCCCCCACCUCC
rnacentral:lncRNA from 1 species